rnacentral:ncRNA from 1 species
UGGAACCUUCGGGGCAGGGUGAAAUUCCCAACCGGCGGUGAUGACAAGCGGCGUUAGCUGCUUGACUCAGUCCGUGACCCGUGCGGCGGCCAUGCGCCUUGUAUUAGGCAGGCAUCCGUUGCCGGUGGACUCGGUGAAAUUCCGAGACCGACAGUAUAGUCUGGAUGGGAGAAGGGGAAG